rnacentral:ncRNA from 1 species
CCCGGGGCGCGAGCCCGGGCGGAGCGGCCGUCGGUGCAGAUCUUGGUGGUAGUAGCAAAUAUUCAAAUGAGAACUUUGAAGGCCGAAGAGGAGAUGGGUUCCAUGUGAACGGCACUUGCACAUGGGUAAGCCGAUCCUAAGGGACGGGGUAACCCCGGCAGAUAGCGCGAUCACGCGCAUCCCCCGAAAGGGAAUCGGGUUAAGAUUUCCCGAGCCGGGAUGUGGCGGUUG